AUUGAACGCUGGCGGAAUGCUUUACACAUGCAAGUCGAGCGGCAGCGCGGGGCAACCUGGCGGCGAGCGGCGAACGGGUGAGUAACACAUCGGAACGUGCCCAGACGUGGGGGAUAGCCCGGCGAAAGCCGGAUUAAUACCGCAUGUGAUCUGAGGAUGAAAGUGGGGGACCGCAAGGCCUCACGCGUUUGGAGCGGCCGAUGGCAGAUUAGGUAGUUGGUGGGGUAAAGGCUUACCAAGCCUGCGAUCUGUAGCUGGUCUGAGAGGAUGAUCAGCCACACUGGGACUGAGACACGGCCCAGACUCCUACGGGAGGCAGCAGUGGGGAAUUUUGGACAAUGGGCGCAAGCCUGAUCCAGCCAUUCCGCGUGCAGGACGAAGGCCUUCGGGUUGUAAACUGCUUUUGUACGGAACGAAAGGGCUCUCUCUAAUACAGGGGGCAUAUGACGGUACCGUAAGAAUAAGCACCGGCUAACUACGUG
rnacentral:rRNA from 1 species